rnacentral:rRNA from 1 species
GACCGUGAUAAUGUAGCAUAAUCAUUCGCCAUUUAAUUGAUGGAUAGUAUGAAUGGUAUAACGAGUAUAACACUGUCUCAAAUAAAAAUCUUAUAAAAUUAGAAUAAUAGUGAAGAUACUAUUUUAAACUGUAAGACGAGAAGACCCUAUAGAGCUUAACUAUAACUCUUUAANCAAUUAAUAAACUAGUUUAUUAAUAAAAAGAGAUAGGUAGUUUAGUUGGGGCGACUACUUUCUAAAAUCAACGAAAGUAAACAAAANUUAAUUAAAAAANUUUACUGUUUAAUUUAUGAAUUUAACAGUUAUUAUAAUAGGUAAUAAUGACCCGUUAACAAUUAAUAAUAGUGCUAACGAUCAAUAAAUAAAAGCUACCUUAGGGAUAACAGGAUGAUUUUGUUCUAGAGAUCAAAUCGAAGACAAAGUUUGUCACCUCUAUGUUGAAUUAAGAUAUCCUAAAAGUGCAGAAGCUUUUAAGGGUAGGUCUGUUC